CGAUUCGAUUAUCGAUUGCAUCAAUAAGAAAAUUUGCGAAAUUCCAUGAAAAGUAUAUCGUUGCAAACACGCCUAACUAAUAUGGACAAAAAGAAACUAAAAUAAGACGAGCAUCGUUUAUAACAUAAAAAUUGUGUCAACAAGCACAUACAAUGAAACUAAAGUAAGGGAUCAAAUGUAUGCCACUAACACUCCAACAGUAUAAAAAAAAUACAUCAUCAUGGCUAAUUUUGUUUUUCAUUAAUUUGAACUUCAUUCUCUUAAGCUUUAAAUAUGAUCAUUCCUUAAAUAUGGCAGGGUAUAAAGAAAAUACAUCAUCACGGCUAA
rnacentral:lncRNA from 1 species